UACAGAGGUGGCAAGCGUUGUUCGGAAUUACUGGGCGUAAAGGGCGCGUAGGCGGUUUUGUAAGUCCUGUGUGAAAUCCCUCGGCUCAACUGAGGAACUGCACAGGGGACUGCAAGGCUUGAGUUCGGGAGAGGGAAGUGGAAUUCCGGGUGUAGCGGUGAAAUGCGUAGAUAUCCGGAGGAACACCGGUGGCGAAGGCGGCUUCCUGGACCGACACUGACGCUGAUGCGCGAAAGCUAGGGGAGCAAACGGG
rnacentral:rRNA from 1 species